AUUGAACACUGGCGGCAGACCUAACACAUGCACGUCGAGCGCGCGGCGGACGGGGGGGUAAUGUGUGGGAAACUGCCUGAUGGAGGGGGGUAACUACUGGAAACGGUAGCUAAUACCGCAGACGAUCAGAUGUGCCCAGAUGGGAUUAGCUAGUUGGUGGGGUAACGGCUCACCUAGGCGCCGAUCCCGAGCUGGUCUGAGAGGAUGACCAGCCAAAUUGGAACUGAGACACGGUCCAGAUUCCUACGGGAGGCAGCAGUGGGGAAUAUGGCACAAUGGGCGCAAGUUUGAUGCAGCCAUGGCGCGUGUGUGAAGAAGUCCUUGGGGUUGUAAAGCACGCUCAGCUGUGCGGCGGUAUUCGCAGAAGAAGCACCGGCUAACUUCGUGCCAGCAGCCGCGGUAAUUC
rnacentral:rRNA from 1 species